AGUCGAGGGGUAUAUGUCUUCGGAUAUAGAGACCGGCGCACGGGUGCGUAACGCGUAUGCAAUCUACCUUUUACAGAGGGAUAGCCCAGAGAAAUUUGGAUUAAUACCUCAUAGUAUAGCUCUACCGCAUGGUAGUACUAUUAAAGUCACAACGGUAAAAGAUGAGCAUGCGUCCCAUUAGCUAGUUGGUAAGGUAACGGCUUACCAAGGCAACGAUGGGUAGGGGUCCUGAGAGGGAGAUCCCCCACACUGGUACUGAGACACGGACCAGACUCCUACGGGAGGCAGCAGUGAGGAAUAUUGGACAAUGGGCGCAAGCCUGAUCCAGCCAUGCCGCGUGCAGGAUGACGGUCCUAUGGAUUGUAAACUGCUUUUGUACGAGAAGAAACACUGCUUCGUGAAGCAGCUUGACGGUAUCGUAAGAAUAAGGAUCGGCUAACUCCGUGCCAGCAGCCGCGGUAAUACGGAGGAUCCAAGCGUUAUCCGGAAUCAUUGGGUUUAAAGGGUCCGUAGGCGGUUUAGUAAGUCAGUGGUGAAAGCCCAUCGCUCAACGGUGGAACGGCCAUUGAUACUGCUGAACUUGAAUUAUUAGGAAGUAACUAGAAUAUGUAGUGUAGCGGUGAAAUGCUUAGAGAUUACAUGGAAUACCAAUUGCGAAAGGCAGGUUACUACUAAUUGAUUGACGCUGAUGG
rnacentral:rRNA from 1 species